UACGGGGGGGGCAAGCGUUGUUCGGAAUUACUGGGCGUAAAGGGCUUGUAGGUGGCCAACUAAGUCAGACGUGAAAUCCCUCGGCUUAACCGGGGAACUGCGUCUGAUACUGGAUGGCUUGAGUUCGGGAGAGGGAUGCGGAAUUCCAGGUGUAGCGGUGAAAUGCGUAGAUAUCAGGAGGAACACCGGUGGUGUAGACGGCUUUCUGGACCGUAACUGACGCUGAGACACGAAAGCGUGGGUAGCAAACAGG
rnacentral:rRNA from 1 species